rnacentral:rRNA from 1 species
UACGUAGGGUGCAAGCGUUGUCCGGAAUUAUUGGGCGUAAAGGGCUCGUAGGCGGUCCAUCGCGUCGGGAGUGAAAAGCUGGGGCUUAACCCCAGUCCUGCUUCCGAUACGGGUGGACUAGAGGUAGGUAGGGGAGAUCGGAAUUCCUGGUGUAGCGGUGAAAUGCGCAGAUAUCAGGAGGAACACCGGUGGCGAAGGCGGAUCUCUGGGCCUUACCUGACGCUGAGGAACGAAAGCUAGGGGAGCAAACAGG